UACGUAGGUGGCAAGCGUUAUCCGGAUUUACUGGGUGUAAAGGGCGUGUAGGCGGGAAAGCAAGUCAGAUGUGAAAACCAUGGGCUCAACCUGUGGCCUGCAUUUGAAACUGUUUUUCUUGAGUACUGGAGAGGCAGACGGAGUUCCUAGUGUAGCGGUGAAAUGCGUAGAUAUUAGGAGGAACACCAGUGGCGAAGGCGGUCUGCUGGACAGCAACUGACGCUGAGGCGCGAAAGCGUGGGGAGCAAACAGG
rnacentral:rRNA from 1 species